AUUGAACGCUGGCGGCAGGCCUAACACAUGCAAGUAGAACGAGUGGCGGACGGGUGAGUAAUGUCUGGGAAACUGCCUGAUGGAGGGGGAUAACUAAUGGAAAAGGACGCUAAUACAGCAUACCAUCGGAUGUGCCCAGAUGGGAUUAGAUAGUAGGUGGGGUAAAGGCUCACCUAGGCGACUAUCCCUAGCUGGUCUGAGAGGAUGACCAGCCACACGGGAACUGAGACACGGUCCAGAAUCCUACGGGAGGCAGCAGUGGGGAAUAUGUCACAAUGGGCGCAAGCCGGAUGCAUCCAUGCCUCUUGUAUGAAGAAGGCCUUCGGGUUGUAAAGUACUUUCAGCGGGGAGGCGUUACCCGCAGAAGAAGCACCGGCUAACUCCGUGCCAGCAGCCGCGGUAAUUC
rnacentral:rRNA from 1 species